rnacentral:rRNA from 1 species
GUGAACGCUGGCGGUAGGCCUAACACAUGCAGGUCGAACGACAGCACAGUAAGAGCUUGCUCUUACGGGUGGCGAGUGGCGGACGGGUGAGGAAUACAUCGGAAUCUACUUUUUCGUGGGGGAUAACGUAGGGAAACUUACGCUAAUACCGCAUACGACCUACGGGUGAAAGCAGGGGAUCUUCGGACCUUGCGCGAUUGAAUGAGCCGAUGUCGGAUUAGCUAGUUGGCGGGGUAAAGGCCCACCAAGGCGACGAUCCGUAGCUGGUCUGAGAGGAUGAUCAGCCACACUGGAACUGAGACACGGUCCAGACUCCUACGGGAGGCAGCAGUGGGAAAUAUUGGACAAUGGGCGCAAGCCUGAUCCAGCCAUACCGCGUGGGUGAAGAAGGCCUUCGGGUUGUAAAGCCCUUCUGUUGGGAAAGAAAAGCAGCAGGUUAAUACCCCGCUGUUCUGACGGUACCCAAAGAAUAAGCACCGGCUAACUUCGUG